CAGAACGAACGCUGGCGGCGUGGAUAAGACAUGCAAGUCGAACGAUCACUAUUGGGUAGCAAUAUCCGCAGGUCGGAGUGGCGUAAGGGUGCGUAACACGUGGGCAAUCUACCGCAAAGACCGGAAUAACCUGCUGAAAAGUGGGCUAAUGCCGGAUGUUGAUCUCGGGGGGAUUCUCCUGGAAUCCAAAGUUGGGGACCGUAAGGCCUGACACUUUGCGAUGAGCCCGCGGCCUAUCAGCUAGUUGGCGAGGUAACGGCUCACCAAGGCUAAGACGGGUAGCUGGUCUGAGAGGACGACCAGCCACACUGGAACUGAGACACGGUCCAGACACCUACGGGUGGCAGCAGUCGAGAAUUUUUCACAAUGGGGGAAACCCUGAUGGAGCGACGCCGCGUGGGGGAUGAAGGGCUUCGGCUCGUAAACCCCUGUCAUUCGCGAAUAAUUGUUGCAACCUAACACGUUGCGACUUGAUAGUAGCGGAAGAGGAAGGGACGGCUAACUCUGUG
rnacentral:rRNA from 1 species